GAAGGGUCCAAGCGGCCCUGCUCGGCCACACGGGUCCCACUCAGCCCUGGGCCCUGCCCAGCCAUCACUGUGGGGCGUGAGGCCAGGCCUCUGGGCCACCUGCGCCCGAGGACGUGGUGGACCCCUCCUUUUCCAUCCGUCCUCUUUGACUCCGGGUUCACGAGCCACGGGUGCGCGGAGGGGUUUGUGGGGAAAACACGGGAGAAGCCAAGAGCGAGUUAUUCCUUGGAUUUUGUGAGACACCAAGACACUGAGAAACAUGGAGCAGAAAAUCCGUUUGCUUUUGUAUAACCAGUCGCACAGAGCGACCCUCUGUGUCUGUUGCCAUGGGGACCGUGGGAAGGUGAACUGCUCAGUUCAUCUCAGGGCCUGUGGGGCGGAGGACCAUUGGUCAGUGCCGGGGUGGUUAGUGAGAGGCAGGGCCCGUCUACCGGCCACACCUUCGCACUGGGCACGUCUCUCCACUCAGGACACCUGGGGAGCCUCACCUUGCGUGGAAACGUGAUUUGAGUCCUGGCACCCCCGUGGCUAUUAUGUGAUCGUGAAGUCACUGAACGUUCAUCUCAGAAGGAGCCAGGAUUCCUUCUUUCUACAGGGUUGCUAUCUGUAGAUGUUGGGGAGACACCAUCAGAGAGAGAGGGAUGCUGGGACCAUACCCUCGUAGAGACAGGGGUACUGUGGACACACUCUCAGAGAGAAGGAUGCUGAGAACACCCUCAGAGAGAAGGAUGCUGGGAACAUCUUCAGAGAGAGGGAUGCUGGGGACACACCCUCAGAGAGAGCUGCUCGCCCUCGGAGAACCAGGACCUGUGACUACCUGUCCACAGAAGCCUGAUUCAGAAGUUUAAGUGCAGAAAGGGACCAUCCUGAGGCGUUGUAGCAUUAGACGGCACUGACAGCAAAUGUUGUUAAUUAUCUGAUCAACAUAGGUAUGAUGGAUUUUCAAUCUUAUUUAAAGUUUAUACUGUCUCCAGGAAGCUGGGUAACAUGCUUUGUUAUUCCAUGUAAAUCUCUAACGUGUCUACACAGCUCUCCGCGUGUCGGCUCAUUAUGUGGGGGGAGAAACUUUUUGGCACUUUUCAUGCUUUUCCCCAAAGAACACCUCUAACCAAGCAAAAGCAAUCUGAUUCCCCAGCUGGAAUGAUGUAAGUGGAAUUAAAUAUUUUUAAAUGA